rnacentral:lncRNA from 1 species
CCCCUGGGCCAGUUCCACCGUGUAGAGUUCACCUUCCUUCCCCCCCACCCCCGGGGGUCACUGCACUGUGAACAGCCUCCGUCAUGACCCAACUCGCACACCAGUAUUUCAAACACAGCGGUUCCUUGACUCCCGUAAACAAGAGGAAUCCAGCCUGCCCCUCCCCCUGCAUACAGAGGCCGGGAGCCUGGUGAGGUUCAGAGAAGGCUUCUCCGUGGUGGAACGCGGCAGCGAUAUCCUGGAGGGUCCAACAUGCCUGCGUGGGUCAGUAACGCAGACAUGGCACGUAACCAGAGUUAUCCCAGCGUCUUGUCAUCAGAGCCAUCCCGGCCCCUGUCUGAGUGAUGCUCUAGCAGCCGGCAUGGGAACCAAUAUGGAAGAAAGGAAUCUGGUCACCCACAUCCGUGGCUGGCACGUUCAUCGAAUGUCCCGAAGAAUCUCUCCAACACUCGAGCCAACAUGCCCACGCCAGCUGCGAAAGACACCUAUUCGGGGCCCCCGCUCAAGCCCCCAAGAGUUGGGGCUGGCACCGAACUCCCAAGUUAGGUUCCUCCAGGACUGAUGCGUCCGUUCCGGUCACACGGAGGGCUAUUAUUCUUCCAGAAGAAUCACCGAGAGAGGAUAUCUAUCAUGGUGAAGCUCACAGAUUUUGGGGUUCCAUCUGGCACAAUACUCCCUUGCCUCGGGCCUUGGGCAAGUCAUCCAACUACACUGAGCCUCGGGGUCCUGAAGCAUAAGGCGGGGGCCACCUACCUCACAUGACAUUGAUUACAUAACGUGUCUAAAGCGUCCAGGGUGUGUGUUUGUUAUGACCGCUGCCCACGGACGUCUCGGGGACGUGUAGACCAGCCAUGCCUGCGGCAAGCGCCACCUUGCUCUGGUACCAUACUCACGGUGCCCCUCGCCCGCAUCCGGAA